GACCGCGUGGCCCAAUGGAUAAGGCGUCCGACUUCGAAUCGGAAGAUUGAGGGUUCGAUUCCCUUCGUGGCUAUUCA
rnacentral:tRNA from 1 species